AAAAGUGCUUUAGUGUUGCUUUAACCAUAGUCCUCAUAAAUCCACCGGAGUUUAAAAUGAAAACACAAAGAAAGCGGCAGGUAACGGACUUCCGGGCGAAAAGAGUGACAUCCGGCGGAAUUUGCGGCGGCACCGGAGCAAUCCCGGAGGUGGAACGUCGUGGUUAUAGACUGAGGUGGGUGCGACUGUUUGUUAAAAAAAAAAA